rnacentral:rRNA from 1 species
CCUACGGGGGGCAGCAGUGAGGAAUAUUGGUCAAUGGCCGGAAGGCUGAACCAGCCAAGCCGCGUGAAGGACGAAGGUGCCAAGCAUUGUAAACUUCUUUUGUCAAGGGACAAAAUCAGGCUCGAGAGCCUGACCGAGGGUACUUGAAGAAAAAGCAUCGGCUAACUCCGUGCCAGCAGCCGCGGUAAUACGGAGGAUGCGAGCGUUAUCCGGAUUUAUUGGGUUUAAAGGGUGCGCAGGCGGAAUGUCAAGUCAGCGGUAAAAUUUCGGGGCUCAACCCCGUCGUGCCGUUGAAACUGGCGUUU